CCCGCCGCUCACCGCGCGGGAUUCAGAUCAGAUCAGGCCCCCGCUGGGCGCUCGACUCCUUGGCGGCGGUGGCCCCCGCGACCAGUGGCCCCAUCCUCUUGGAAUCCAGACCCGGCGCCCUCCGCCGCCCCUGCCCAAAGCCGGCCUCAGGUUGGAGUUGGACGAGGGGGCUGCGAGCCGCCUGUCCGCUCGCCGCCUAUUCCAUGAGCGCCGCCGGCCUUGGGUUGGAUGAGGGCGCCGCGGCCCCGGACCCCGGACGGCGUACCGACCUGUAGUGCCUCGGGCUGGCGAGGGCGCUGCAGCUGUGAUGGACCCGCGCGUGGUGGUGGCCUGGGGGCCAGGCCGGCCGAUGGCCUUGGCGCCGCUGAUCCCUCCGUGUGGAGGCCCUCUCCUCCCCUGCGGUGGUGGCCUGGAGUCAGGGCAAUGGCCUGGGCGCGGCUGCCCCCUCCGUCACCGGCCCUUCCGGCCAAGAUGGGGGAGUAAAGGGACAAGGCACUCAAGGAGCUCAUGGAUCAGGUGGCCAUGAAGCAGCCCAACAGCUCGUGCCGCGGCAUCAAGGAGAAUUUCUGGGAGAGCCAGGGCUUCAAGUUCAUCGCCUCCAUAUCGAUGCUAGCCCUGGUGAUCCUUGCAAAACGAUGAAAACGGCAUCCUGAACCCAAUCAUGUGUAUAGAAGUUAAGAUUCCAGCGUUAGGUGGGCAUCUAGCUCACAGUUUAAGAAGCUGUUGAUGUAGCAGCUUACAUUAGUUUGUAGACUAGGGCAGUUGAGCUUGCUGCAUGAUCAGAUGUCCAGACUGAAAUUUGCUAACAUUCAAUCCUAUUGCUGUAGACUGUAAUAGAUGUAGUCUGUACUCUGUACUUUGUAGUGCAGUUUCUGCCAGUUCAUGUAAGCUCAUAAGCUGUCUUGUAGUGACACCUAGUUCGUGUAAGCUCAUGAGCAGUCUUGUAGUCAUGGAUCUACAUCAUAUAAUCUCAGAGUAGUUGCUACAGUGGUUGCUGCAUUU